ensembl:snoRNA
UUGCCUGAUGCAAUCAGUGUUCUACUCUCCUAUUAAAGAACAUGACUAUAUCCAUAGCAUGCUAUAUGUGAUCAAUGAGAAGGUUUUUUUAGGGUUGCUGACUUUUUGGUUGAGGUUAUGUGGACAUAUAUUUCUUCUACGUUA